CCGUCGAACUCGUCCUUGAAGAGCCGCUCCGUUCCGAACUUGAGGAUGUCGUCCAGUUCCUGUUUGGACAUGGAGCCCGUCUUGGAUCCGAGACCAGGUCGGACCACCAGAUGAUGAUCAUUAUGGCAAUCGUAGGUCUUAUAUGUUUUGCAGUCAUUUUCCUGUAUUUCUUCUACUGAGCUGGUCUCCAGGGAUCGGACACGCGAGUCCCAGGACCAGACUGCCCCGACGCCGGCCGAACCCCCACCCCCUUCACCCCCUCC